CGCGUAGGCGGUCUCUUAAGUCAGAUGUGAAAGCCCGGGGCUUAACCCCGGAAGUGCAUUUGAAACUAGGGGACUUGAGUAUGGGAGAGGGAAGUGGAAUUCCUGGUGUAGAGGUGAAAUUCGUAGAUAUCAGGAGGAACACCGGUGGCGAAGGCGACUUCCUGGACCAAUACUGACGCUGAGGCGCGAAGGCGUGGGGAGCAAACAGGAUUAGAUACCCUGGUAGUCC
rnacentral:rRNA from 1 species